AUGCCAAAAAAGGCCAUCCGUGCUCCUUUCCUCAUGAGGGCCCAGUGUGCAAUGGCUGCAAACAGCAGCCUCCUUGGUAGUGUAUGCAGCCUGUUGCUUGUGUGGAUUGCUCUAAGGGACCUUGGAGACAGUC
rnacentral:snoRNA from 1 species